UGUCGUUAAGUCCGCUAACGAGCGCAACCCUCGCUGUGUGUUAUAUGUGUCACACGGGACUGCCGGUCUUAAGCCGGAGGAAGGUAGGGAUGAUGUCAAGUCAGCAUGGCCUUUAUAUCCUGGGCUACACACACGCUACAAUGGCCAACACAAUAGGUUGCUAAGCCGCGAGGUGGCGCCAAUCCAUAAAGUUGGUCUCAGUUCAGAUUGUAGGCUGCAACCCGCCUGCAUGAAGAUGGAGUUGCUAGUAACCGCAGGUCAGCUAUACUGCGGUGAAUACGUUCCCGGGGCUU
rnacentral:rRNA from 1 species